GCGCUCCUAUUGGCUGGCGGAGCCGGGGACACCUAUAUAAGGCGCAAGGAGGAAAACGUCCUCACAGCGUGACAGGAAACCACUGCUCUGAGGAACAGGCGGCAAGCGGCACCCCGGGCUGAGGUAAGAGGACGGCGCGGUGGGAAAGCGACAUCGCGGGGACGGGAUGGGACAAUGCCAGGCAGGCUUGCUGGGUGGAAGGAACGGGGACGGAACGAGACGAGACAAGAGGGACACGAGCGGCGUCCGCGGGCUGAGGGGCCCCUGCAGAAGACAGCGGAAGAAGCCGUGUGUGGAACUGGGAGGCAGGAGGGCACAUGAAGAGGGCGCACAAAGAGGAAGCAGAAGACUGCAGCUGGGCUAAGGAAGAGGUGGCCAGGCCUGUGUGGUAGUAGUGUGGCCACGGCUGCCCUGUAUCCAGGGCUUGGGUCUGUGCCUACGUGUCCUGCUGGCGAAGUGACAGCCCUGUACCCGAGACGUGUGUCACAAGCUGUGGAACCCUCUGUCCCUGAUGCGGCUCCCCCCCAUAAUUAGGUUUGGAGAGGCUGUGCUGGUGCAGCCAGUUGCUUUAGUCAGCUGGUGGGAGCAGUCCCUUCCUGGCCUGAUAGAGAGUGCAGGUUGAGGUGCUACUUGUGGCUGGGGCAACCUCCCUGCUGUGCAGGGAGAGGUUGCUCCUUGGGCUCCUGAAGACGUGAUAGUGGUGACCAUGCUGCAGCCAGGAGUCCCUGCGGAAGAAGCUGUGUUUGGAACCGUGGGAUGUGCCUUACACACAUUGAUACAAGGUUUGGAAUGCAGCAGUCCUCUCUGGCUGUGUCUUCCAGCAGGAAGAGAAGGAAUGUCCCCAGUGAGAAGGAAUGAGGUUCCCAAGACACAGCACAAUGUGACCCACAAGGCAGAGAAAAAUCUGAACACAAAUGCAGGGUAGAAAUAGUGGCAGUGUGUGCAUACUGCUGUUUGGAAGAGGGCACUGAUAUGCAGCCUGGGAAUGGCAGCAGUAGCUAGGACAUCACAUCUGCUGCCUGAAGCGUUCAAAGUAAAGUGGUUGUACUCUUUUUCUUUUAAUUAACCAUGCUUAUGAUUUGCUGAAAAACUCAGUAAGUGAUGUAUAGGAAUGAGGUGAUACUUGAACUGUCUGCUUGGCUGCACAGUGUCUUUGUUUAAUAAAGAUUAAUUUAUCCUACAUGCAUCGA